rnacentral:rRNA from 1 species
ACGACUCUUGACAACGGAGAUCUCGGCUCUCGCAUCGACGAAGAAGGAAGCGAAGAACGAUACUUGGUGUGAAGAGCAGAAUCAUCCGAACCACCGAGUCUUUGAACGCAAGAUGCGCCGGAAGACAACAGGCCGAGGGCAGCUCGUCCUGGGUGUCACA